rnacentral:lncRNA from 1 species
GGGACUUCCCGGUAGGCUCAGGAUCCCCCUCCCUGCUCUCCCCUCCCCCAUCUUCACCACUGCUCUCUCAGAGAUCCAGGUCCGGGAGAUGACAGUGGCUCCCAGAAAGCCCAGGAUUCAAUCGCUGAGAGAGUGCUUAGGCCCGAAUGCCGGCCCAAAUCGUUCUACUCACCGUGUCGGAGGCCGAGGCCGAGGCCGAGAGCGAUGAGAGUGCAGGGAAGUGGGGAAGAGGGGGUGGCCGCCAGGCUCCUCCGCUUCCCUGGGUCCACGGCGGAUCCCUCCCGCUUGUCAGGAGGCGGCCAGCGGGUAAGCUGACUGGCGGAAAUGCGAGAGAGGAGAAGGGAAAGGUGGAAGGCUAAAGGGGGCAAACUGAGGGGAGGCGGGUCCCGCAACCGAGACUGGGAUCGUCUCCCCUCCGCAAAGCGAACCCAAAAUGGCGGCGGGAGCGGCGGCGGCGGCGGCGGCAGCAGCAGAGUGGCGGCGGUGGCGGCGGCAGCUCCUCCAGAGGGAGGGAGCGAAGGGCGCCUAGCGCCCCCCUCAACCUUCCACUCCUUCCUCCUUGCGUUCUUUCCCACCGUCCCCCGCUCCGCCCGACUCCGUCCGCGUAGCGCGCACGCCCGCCCGCACGCGUACGAGUGUCUACGGGCUCGUCGCUGGCUGCUCCCACCAACCACCACCUUCGGCCGCCCCGCGCGCCAGCCAGCCCGUACGCGCUCACCCACAGGAACCCCCUCGUCCAGUCCCUCACUACCCCUCAGGCCCUGUCAAGCCGGCGCCGGCGCAGGCCCUCACGCGUACCUUCAACGGCGCAAGCCCAAGCCUCCUCCUCCUCCUCCUCCACCUCCUCUUCUCUCCUCCCCCCCCUUCCCCGCCCCCACGGCCACCAACCGCCGCCACGGCCGCCGCCGCCGCCGCCAGCCCCCCCUACCACCCUCCACCCCUCGCGCGUGCGCCUCCCACAAUCCCCCCCGCGGGACUGUUCCAUUCCUGUCGGCUGCAGGGGCAGGAGAGGAAGGGACGGGCCGAGCGGGUCGGGGCUUGCCGUUUGACUGGAAUUGCCAGAAUGGCGGACCGAGCCCCACGACAACCUACCUCCCUGGGCUCCUCGCCGCAGCGCUGCGGCUCGCCUCCCUCUGCUCCUCCUCCUCCGCCGGAUCGCGGCGAGCGGAUCGAGGACUGCCUAGCGCCCCUCUGCCCACCGGUGGUUGGAGGCCGCGGCGGCUGCGCGUUGAGUCGUUUCCUGCCGGUUGACCUGAGCCUACUUCGCAGUAGCAGGACCGCUGCUGUGGAGCUGGUCGCAGGCGGUGUGUGCCGGUCGCCUAGUCAGGAGAACUAGUCCUCGACUCACGGUGAGGGAAUGGACCGACACGGGUAUUGUACCGCUGAGGGAAAGGAGCGGGACUCCGGACCUCCAGGAGGUAGGGAGUGAGGCCAGUAGGACCGGCGCGCCUCCGGGGGGAUUCCUCCCGGGCGUUGAGUUGCCAACCUGGGACCCGAGGAAGAUCGGCGUGGUGGUGUGCUUUUUGUUGUUGUUAACCCUCCUCGGAUUUCUCGAAUUUCACACCACUGUCCAUAUGCGAUGAUGUUUGUUUGCCCUUGACGCACUUACUCAUGGAUGGUACUUCUUCAGCCUCGUUAGACAGCCUGGUGAUGGAGGAUGAAGAAACCAUGUGCUUUUCAUUCAGUUCUGGACUUAGUCUCCCUUUUCUUCCUUCAGCAAGUUAUUUUUGUUAGUUCCUUAUCAAAAAGUGUACAUAAAAAUUAGGCAACUCCAAACAUGCCUCCAGGGUUAAUGUGUGAAAUAAUAAGAUAAUAUAUGUAAAGUGGAAUUAGCUCCUAGGCAUAGGGAAAGUGCAGAAUAUUGCCGUGUUGUCAUUUACAGUUCUGUUGAUGUCGAUAACGUUUGUGGGUGUAAUUGGUAGUGUUCUGUCCCUCCAAGGAGUUAAUAAAACAAAGCAAACAUA